GAUUAGAUACCCUACUAUGCCAAGCUGUAAACACUGACACACUCUUUCUUUGUCCGCCAGAGAAUAACGAGCCAAAGCUUAAAACCCAAAGGACUUGGCGGCGCUUCACACACCCUAGAGGGGCCUGUCACAUAAUCGAUAACCCACGAUAAACCUCACCACUUUUAGCCCAUUAGCCUAUAUACCGCCGUCGCCAGCCCAUCCCGAUAGGAAAGAAAAAUGGACCCAAUAGUCUCUACACUAGCACGACAGGUCAAGGUGUAGCUUAUAAAGUGGCAAAUGAUGGACCACAUUGCUUUUUCCAGCCAUACUCGAACUGCCCUGAAACACGCACUUUAAAGGUGAAUUUAACAGUAAGUUGGGCAAGAAAACCCACCUAAAGAAUGCUCUGAAGCGUGCACACACCGCCCGUCACCCU
rnacentral:rRNA from 1 species